rnacentral:rRNA from 1 species
GACGAACGCUGGCGGCGUGCUUAACACAUGCAAGUCGAACGCUGAAGCUCAGCUUUUGUUGGGUGGAUGAGUGGCGAACGGGUGAGUAACACGUGAGUAACCUGCCCCCUUCUUUGGGAUAACGCCCGGAAACGGGUGCUAAUACUGGAUAUUCACUGGUCUUCGCAUGGGGGUUGGUGGAAAGGGUUUUUCUGGUGGGGGAUGGGCUCGCGGCCUAUCAGCUUGUUGGUGGGGUGAUGGCCUACCAAGGCUUUGACGGGUAGCCGGCCUGAGAGGGUGACCGGUCACAUUGGGACUGAGAUCCGGCCCAGACUCCUACGGGGGGCAGCAGUGGGGAAUAUUGCACAAUGGGCGCAAGCCUGAUGCAGCGACGCCGCGUGAGGGAUGGAGGCCUUCGGGUUGUGAACCUCCUUCGCUCAUGGUCAAGCCGCAACAAUGGUUGUGGUGAGGGUAGUGGGUAAAGAAGCGCCGGCUAACUACGUG